rnacentral:rRNA from 1 species
GACGUAGGGUGCGAGCGUUGUCCGGAUUUAUUGGGCGUAAAGAGCUCGUAGGCGGUUCAGUAAGUCAGGUGUGAAACCUCCAGGCUCAACCUGGAGACGCCACCUGAUACUGCUGUGACUGGAGUCCGGUAGGGGAGCGUGGAAUUCCUGGUGUAGCGGUGAAAUGCGCAGAUAUCAGGAGGAACACCAGCGGCGAAGGCGGCGCUCUGGGCCGGUACUGACGCUGAGGAGCGAAAGCGUGGGUAGCAAACAGG